rnacentral:rRNA from 1 species
AGAUACGGCAUCAUUAUGAUGGGGAGGGGAGCGUCCCAAAAGGGUUGAAGCAUGACCGUAAGGAAAUGUGGACAGUAUGGGAGUGAGAAUGUUGGCAUGAGUAGCGAGAUGUGGGUGAGAAUCCCACAGGCCGUAAACCAAAGGUUUCCAGGGGAAGGUUCGUCCGCCCUGGGUUAGUCGGGACCUAAGCUGAGGCCGAAAGGCGUAGGUGAUGGACAACAGGUUGAUAUUCCUGUACUACCGAUAACCGUUUGAGAGAUGG